rnacentral:rRNA from 1 species
UACAGAGGUGGCAAGCGUUGUUCGGAAUUACUGGGCGUAAAGGGCGCGUAGGCGGUCAGGUCAGUCCCGUGUGAAAUCCCUCGGCUCAACUGAGGAACUGCACGGGAAACUGCCUGGCUUGAGUUCGGGAGAGGGAAGCGGAAUUCCGGGUGUAGCGGUGAAAUGCGCAGAUAUUGGGAGGAACACCAGUGGCGAAGGCGGCUCACUGGACUGGUACUGACGCUGAGGCGCGAAAGCGUGGGGAGCAAACGGG